rnacentral:tRNA from 1 species
AAGAAGAUACACCAGAACCGCUAACUCUGCCCACCUGAAGCUAAACAUUCAGACUUCUU